rnacentral:lncRNA from 1 species
GGUCGGGGCUAAAAAACAGGGUCGGUCAGGUUACCUGAAACACAGAUUUUUUUUUUUCUCGGCCCAAGGAGAGUUGUUAAAAUAAUGUGAAUACACAGAACCCCCAUCCAAUUACAGUUAUUUUUGGAAAACAAAUAGUGUGAUUUGUCAAAUUCAGCUGAUUUUUUAAUCGUCUUGAAAAAAGUGUACAUUUUAUGAGGGGGGAUAAUCCCGAGCUUAAAAACACC